AGAACGAACGCUGGCGGCAUGCCUAACACAUGCAAGUCGAACGCUCCUGGGGCUUCGGUCUCAGGGGAGUGGCGCACGGGUGAGUAGCGCGUGGGAACCUGCCCUGUUGUGGGGGAUAACCGAGGGAAACUUCGGCUAAUACCGCAUAAGCCGGUUGUCUUGAAAGAGAUGACCGGGAAAGAUUUAUCGCGACAGGAGGGGCCCGCGUCGGAUUAGCUAGUUGGUGGGGUAACGCCCACCAAGGCAGUGAUCCGUAGCUGGUCUGAGAGGAUGAUCAGCCACACUGGGACUGAGACACGGCCCAGACUCCUACGGGAGGCAGCAGUGGGGAAUAUUGGACAAUGGGCGCAAGCCUGAUCCAGCAAUGCCGCGUGAGUGAUGAAGGCCUUAGGGUUGUAAAGUCCUUUCGGCGGGGAAGAUAAUGACGGUACCCGCAGAAGAAGCCCCGGCUAACUUCGUGCCAGCAGCCGCGGUAA
rnacentral:rRNA from 1 species